GGAGAUACAGCUCAGAGGUAGCGUGCUUGUCUGACACGCAUGAGGCCCUGAGUUCAAUUCCCUGCAUCACCA
rnacentral:tRNA from 1 species